AGUGAGAUAGCUGAGUCAAAUUGUAGUUCCAUUCCUAUUUUUUUUGAGGAAUCUCCAUACUGUUUUCCAGAGUGGUUGCACCAAUUUACAGACCCACUAGCAAU
rnacentral:pre_miRNA from 1 species